UACGGGGGGGGCAAGCGUUGUUCGGAAUUACUGGGCGUAAAGGGUUUGUAGGUGGCUUGUUAAGUCAGACGUGAAAUCCCUCAGCUUAACUGGGAACUGCGUCUGAUACUGGAUGGCUUGAGUUUGGGAGAGGGACGCGGAAUUCCAGGUGUAGCGGUGAAAUGCGUAGAUAUCUGGAGGAACACCGGUGGCGAAGGCGGCGUCCUGGACCAACACUGACACUGAUGAGCGAAAGCCAGGGAGCAAACGGG
rnacentral:rRNA from 1 species